rnacentral:rRNA from 1 species
UACGUAGGUGGCAAGCGUUGUCCGGAUUUAUUGGGUUUAAAGGGUGCGUAGGCGGUUCUGUAAGUCAGUGGUGAAAUACUCCAGCUUAACUGGAGGGGUGCCAAUGAUACUGCAGAACUUGAGUACAGAUGAGGUAGGCGGAAUUGACGGUGUAGCGGUGAAAUGCGUAGAUAUCGGAAGGAACACCAGUGGCGAAAGCGGCUUCCUGGUCCAGCACCGACGUUCAGGCACGAAAGCGUGGGGAGCAAACAGG